rnacentral:rRNA from 1 species
UACGUAGGGCGCAAGCGUUGUCCGGAAUCAUUGGGCGUAAAGAGCUCGUAGGCGGCCUGUUGCGUCCGCUGUGAAAUCCCGGGGCUUAACCCCGGGCGUGCAGUGGAUACGGGCUGGCUGGAGGCAGGCAGGGGAGAACGGAAUUCCCGGUGUAGCGGUGAAAUGCGCAGAUAUCGGGAAGAACACCCGUGGCGAAGGCGGCUCUCUGGGACGGUACUGACGCUGAGACGCGAAAGCGUGGGGAGCGAACAGG